rnacentral:rRNA from 1 species
AAACCAACUGGGAUUACCUUAGUAACGGCGAGUGAAGCGGUAAAAGCUCAAAUUUGAAAUCUGGUACUUUCAGUGCCCGAGUUGUAAUUUGUAGAAUUUGUCUUUGAUUAGGUCCUUGUCUAUGUUCCUUGGAACAGGACGUCAUAGAGGGUGAGAAUCCCGUUUGGCGAGGAUACCUUUUCUCUGUAAGACUUUUUCGAAGAGUCGAGUUGUUUGGGAAUGCAGCUCAAAGUGGGUGGUAAAUUCCAUCUAAAGCUAAAUAUUGGCGAGAGACCGAUAGCGAACAAGUACAGUGAUGGAAAGAUGAAAAGAACUUUGAAAAGAGAGUGAAAAAGUACGUGAAAUUGUUGAAAGGGAAGGGCAUUUGAUCAGACAUGGUGUUUUUGCAUGCACUCGCCUCUCGUGGGCUUGGGCCUCUCAAAAUUUCACUGGGCCAACAUCAAUUCUGGCAGCAGGAUAAAUCAUUAAGAAUGUAGCUACUUCGGUAGUGUUAUAGCUUUUUGGAAUACUGUUAGCCGGGUAUU